ensembl:snRNA U1 U1 spliceosomal RNA
AUACUUACCUAACAGGGGAGAUACCGUGAUCAAAAAGGCGGUUCACCCAGGGCGAGGCUCAGCCAGUGCACUUCGGCUGUGCUGCGAAUUCCCCAAAUGUGGGAAUCUCGACUGCAUAAUUUAUGAUAGUGGGGGACUGCGUUUGGGGGCAGUGGGGGCCUACA